CGGGUGAGUAACACGUGGAGUAACCUGCCCAUCAUAAGGGGAUAACGCUUGUAAAACAGGAUGCUAAUACCGUGAUAACAAUCGAAACCGCAGGGUUUCGUUUUGAAAGGCGCUUUACGGUGCCACUGAUGGAUGGACCCGCGGUGCAUUAACUAGUUGGUGAGGUAACGGCUCACCAAAGACACGAUGCAUACCCGACCUGACUAGAGGUCGAUCGCGCCACAUUGCGAACUGAGACACGGCCCAGAACUCUCUACGGGCAGGCAGCAGUAGGCGAAUCUUCGGCAAUGGACGAAAGUCUGACCGAGCAACGCCGCGUGAAUGAAUAAGGUUUUCGGAUCGUAAAACUCUGUUGUUACAGAAGAACAAGGGUGAGAGUAACUGUUCACCCCUUGACGGUAUCUAAC
rnacentral:rRNA from 1 species